rnacentral:rRNA from 1 species
UACGAAGGGGGCUAGCGUUGCUCGGAAUCACUGGGCGUAAAGCGCACGUAGGCGGCUUCUUAAGUCAGGGGUGAAAUCCUGGAGCUCAACUCCAGAACUGCCUUUGAUACUGGGAGGCUCGAGUCCGGGAGAGGUGAGUGGAACUGCGAGUGUAGAGGUGAAAUUCGUAGAUAUUCGCAAGAACACCAGUGGCGAAGGCGGCCCACUGGCCCGGUACUGACGCUGAGGUGCGAAAGCGUGGGGAGCAAACAGG